UGUAUUUCCGAUGAACUAGGUGUCGUAGUAUCGACUUGAAAGGGAAUCUGGUCAAAGUCCAGAACUGUACCCGCAACUGUGAGUGCUGAUGAAAUAAGGGAAACCACUGUGAUGAAUCAUCAUGGGAAGGCCUUAAAGUAAAAAGAAGCAUAAGUCAGGAGACCUGCCUUGUUUGUGAAAUCUAU
rnacentral:ncRNA from 2 species